UCCUCUCAAUGAAAUCCCCUGUGGUGUUUAGAAUACCUAGCUGGGACUGUGAAUAAUAGUCCCAGGAAUAUAGGCAGGAUUUACACAACUUUCCUCCAGAUUUUACAAAUAUAUCAAAGUUGAAAUUCAGUGUGACAGAACAGAGAGUUCAGCAGCAGGAUUUUUAAAUAAAAAAAUAAGAUGACAGAUGUCCAAGCCGAAUACGAAAAGAUCCGGAAUCAAGGAAGACAGAGGAUAAUUGAAUUAUCGAAACCAAAAAAAAUCCAAAGAAAAUGGUGGACCAAUGUCGGUCCAGAUGUAUUGUGGGGAACCCAGGAGAUGAUGUGGCCCGUAAAAGAUACAGCGAAAAGGGCUGAAGCAUCAAGGCGUGUCAGAGAAUUAGCGUCACCAAAAAGAAAUUUUCAAGCCAAAAAGGAA